AGAAUCAACGCUGGCGGCGUGCCUAACACAUGCAAGUCGAACGCGAAAGUCCCGCAAGGGAUUAGUAGAGUGGCAAACGGGUGAGUAACACGUGGGUGACCUGCCUUCGAGUGGGGGAUAACGUCCCGAAAGGGACGCUAAUACCGCAUAACAUCCUGCCUUUUAAGAGGUGGAGAUCAAAGCUGGGGAUCGCAAGACCUGGCGCUGGAAGAGGGGCCCGCGUCCGAUUAGCUAGUUGGUGGGGUAAUGGCUCACCAAGGCAUCGAUCGGUA
rnacentral:rRNA from 1 species